CAAGGGCCGUGCUGCCGGCAUAGCAGUGAAUGAGAACGGCAAAGGCCUCAUCACAGAAAAUGUCAUCCGUGAGAAUCAGUGGGGAGGUGUGGACAUCCGCCGUGGAGGGAUCCCCGUUCUCAGGAGUAACCUCAUCUGCUUUGGCUAUUCAGAUGGUGUGGUUGUGGGAGAUGAAGGCAAAGGCCUCAUAGAAGGAAAUACCAUCUACGAGAACGGAAAAUAUAAUGGGAAAACAAGAUAAUCACAGGAAGAAAACUCUUCUCACUCACGCAGUGACUUUGGGCAGAGCCUUCAUCUGUCUGGACUCUAUCUCUAAUAAUACAGUGAUAAUAAUAAAGAUGACUCAGGCCC
rnacentral:sRNA from 1 species